UGGGGAAUAUUGCACAAUGGGGGAAACCCUGAUGCAGCGACGCCGCGUGAGUGAAGAAGUAUUUCGGUAUGUAAAGCUCUAUCAGCAGGGAAGAAGUUGACGGUACCUGAGUAAGAAGCCCCGGCUAACUACGUGCCAGCAGCCGCGGUAAUACGUAGGGGGCAAGCGUUAUCCGGAUUUACUGGGUGUAAAGGGAGCGUAGACGGCAGUGCAAGUCUGAAGUGAAAGCCCCGGGCUUAACCCGGGAACUGCUUUGGAAACUGUACGGCUGGAGUGCUGGAGAGGUAAGCGGAAUUCCUAGUGUAGCGGUGAAAUGCGUAGAUAUUAGGAGGAACACCAGUGGCGAAGGCGGCUUACUGGACAGUAACUGACGUUGAGGCUCGAAAGCGUGGGGAGCAAACAGG
rnacentral:rRNA from 2 species